AUGGUGGCUCAUGGUUUGCAUAUUCGGCCGUCUGACUCUGGUUGUCUUUCAGCAUAUUCUGAUGCAGACUGGGCUGGCAAUCCGGAUGACAGGCGAUCCACGGGGAGUUAUGCUGUCUUCUUUGGCUCUAACCUGAUUGCCUGGAGUGCUCGGAAACAGGCUACUGUCUCGCGUAGCAGUACUGAGGCUGAGUAUAAGGCUGUGGCCAAUGCCACAUCAGAGAUUAUCUGGGUACAGUCCUUGCUUCAGGAGUUAAGUAUACCCCAACCACAGCCUCCUGUUCUUUGGUGUGAUAACAUCGGUGCUACAUACCUUUCUGCAAAUCCGGUAUUCCAUGCCCGAACGAAACACAUUGAAGUUGACUAUCACUUUGUGCGUGAACGUGUCUCUCAGAAGCAACUACAGAUCAAGUUUAUUUCUUCCAAGGAUCAACUUGCUGACAUCUUCACCAAGCCAUUGCCUUUGCCACAGUUUGAGACUUGCAGGCGCAAUCUUACCCUUCUAGAUUCAUUAGAAAGUGGCUAA
rnacentral:rRNA from 1 species